GCGCGAAAAGUUUACAAUGCGGGAAACCGUGAUAAGGGAACUCCGAGUGCCCGUAAAAUCGGGCUGUCCAUCUGUUUAAAUAACAGGUGAAGAAAGGGCCGGGCAAGACCGGUGCCAGCCGCCGCGGUAAUACCGGCGGCUCGAGUGGUGGCCACUAUUACUGGGCUUAAAGCGUUCGUAGCUGGUCUGUUAAGUCUCUGGGGAAAUCUACUGGCUUAACCAAUAGGCGUUUCAGGGAUACUGGCAGACUAGAGGGACCGGGAGAGGUGAGGGGUACUCCAGGGGUAGGA
rnacentral:rRNA from 1 species